UUAUAUCGGAUGGUGCACUUUUAAGUCUCUGCAAGUCUUCCUAUUUUACCUUUUCUUAUUUUUUGUGAUUAGUCUUUUUCUUGAGAGAUUCUUUUGUUAUUGGUUGUUAAUAAUCCCUGGAGUUCCUCUAAAAAUAUAAGAAAUACUAAUUUUUGUCUUAAAGCUAAAUAUAUAAUGUUAGGUUAGAAAUUACUCUUGUCUGUGACUUUGCAGAACCCUUCCAACUAGCUCAAAAUAGUGUUGUAAUUUUUUUUUUUUAAAGAAUGAAGCCUUUCCUUAUAAGCCUAGUUGACUAGGUAUAUCAAGUGGACACAGCUGACAGGUACAGUGCUAACUUAUUUCAAAAACCACUGAUUUUUUAAAAGAGUGAGCCGAUUAGAAAAUGUUAUUCCUAACGCUAAACAGUCUGCAACCUAUGGAAGAAAGAAAAUGAGUUUCAUAGCCCUGUUACACAUCAAAUACUGUUUUCUCGUCCAGAGAUCACAGCCGUGGUUUACUGUUGUUUUCCUUUCCUAAGUAAUCAUAUGAAUUUCCUUCAUGUGUAAAACUUUUUCUUCCUUUCAUUUUAAUAACAAUGGUACCCUUAAGACAUUACGGAGAACAUAAAUCGGGCUGUUGAGUUACAGUCCACUUGGCCCUCCUCCAUAUGAAUUCUCUUAGUGCACUAAAUUUGCUUUUUAAUUCUACUGUAUUCAUUUAAUCUUUUGAUUUUUUUCAAACACCUUCUGAAAUACUUCAGACAUAAUAAAGACAAAGAAUAAUAAAUGAGCACCUAUGUUCAUAUGACCCAGAUCCUGGGAUAAAGCAUUACCAGGAAAGCUAAAACUUCUGCUGGGCCCCUUCCUGUCACAUCUACCCCUCACUUCCAGACAUUGGUUUCAAAUAUUCCCUCAUUUUUUAAAAUCAGUCGUACUUUAGACACUGAAGACAAGUGUCCUAAUAAAGGUUGAAGAAGAAAAAUAUUUUAUUAGGUUGCCUUUCCUUCUCUAAUUUGAAAAUAUAUCUUCCCAGGAAUGGCUAGAAUUCUCAGUUUUGCCCACCAACCUAGAGUACCUUAAGAAAUUUUCUUUGUGUGACAGUGCAAACAGCUACUUUGAUGACCAAGAAGAGAAGCUAGUAGGCGAAGGCUCAUUCUGGUCCGUCCUUUCUGUCACCAGGAGGAUCUCCUGCCCUCCAGAGAUCAGUGUUCUGGCUUUGCCCCAUGAGGAUUGUUUUUUGUUUUUGUUUUUUUUUAAUUGAAAACUGCUGCUCAGAAGCAGCAGUAUUCGCAGCUACUUGAAGCUCCUUCUGGCCUUAACCACCUGGACAAAUUGUAGUGGCCUUACAGUAGCUGGUACUCUUGGAAGCCUGACCUGUAUGUCAAUGGAUGUGCCAGCUCUUGGAGAACCUGUGGUGAUGUCUUCUGAGAGGGAGUAUAAAACUUGAUUCAUCUGCAGUAGUCAGACGUCUCUGAAACAAGAGUACCAAUUUCACAACAUUAGAGGUUAGUUUUGAUGCACAUAUUGUAAAUCUAUCUGUUUGAGAGUUGAAGUAGUCUAGUUUUUUUUUUUUCAUGUGUGAUAUCCUUUAUCUUGUAGGAUAGCUACCCAAUUAAGUUUAUUUCUGAAGAGUGUGAUUGACCUAACUGUUUGUAAACUGAAUUA